CCACCGAGGCAACCAGACAUACAAAUCGAUCCCCUUUUGGUCUUCUCCCAUCCAAAUCGAGCACGAAACCCUAGCCUGGAGGCAGCACACGGCGGCGCCGGCGCCGGCGGCGGGUCAAGGUAGGGCUUGCGCGUGGGACUGGGCACUGGCCUGGCAUGCGCGCGGGCCGCGGAGGGGUGACUGCAGGCGGGCGGCCUCGUCUGGGCGCGCGGCUUCGUCGGGGCGCGCGAGCGUUCCUGGGCGGGCGGCCGCGCUUCAGACCCACGAGCGCGCCUGGGCGGGCGGCGCGUGGAGGCAGUGGCCCCUGGUGGCCAGCGCACGUGGGGCAACCGGCCACGCCUGGUGGAUCCGCGGGGCGUGCGGCCGCGCAUGGGGCCACUGCGCCUGCAGCAGACAACCCGUGGGGGCUGCUGCUCGUCGUGCAUCUGCACUAGGUAAAGAAGAACUCUCAUGGACACAAAUGUACUAGUGCAGAAAAAGUAAGAAUGUGAAGCAGGCAAUAAAAUUUUAGAUUUGUGACGUCGUUAAGGAUUGGUUGAUUGAAGAUUCAAGGCAAGGGGCAAAGGCACUACAAGCUAAGAUUAAGGAAAAGUUCAAGGUUGAGGUGUCUUACAAGAGAUUGUAUGCAGGUAAGGAGCUAGCACAUAAGCAACUUUUUGGUGAUCGGGAUAGUAGCCUUUAAGGCAGAGGUGGAAAGAUUCUAUCCGGGUAGUUUUGUGGUAAUUGAUCAUCACAGAGUCCAAGAAAAGGUCAAGUUUAAUAGAUUGUUUUUUUCACUAAAACCAUGCAUAGAUGGAUUCGAUUCAGACCACACUUGGCAAUCGAUAGCACUUUCUUGCCAGGAAAAUACAAGGGGCAAUUAGUAUGUGCAUGUGCUGUAGAUAGACAUAAUUGGAUGAUUUAAUGGAUAAGAUCAGACAACUUCUCAUGCAAAAGUGGGAUGCAAGGAGGACAUCAUCUAGGAAGAUAGAUGGAGAUAUUUUGCCACACAUGAGGAAGAAGUUGAAGGAGCAGAGCUUCAGUUUGGAUAUUGGAUGUGUCUAGAUGCUCAGAUAAAGUUGCUGAAGUGUGUGCAAAAGGAAGCAAUGGCUACAAGUGUAUAGUGAACCUACAACAAAAAACUUGUUCUUCUUGAAAAUAUCAGGUCUCGAGUAUUCCAUGGUUACAUGCUAUAGCCUUCAUCACUUCAAUGAGAGAACCUUUGAAGAAAUAUGUUCAUCGAUAUUAUUCAGUUGAGAGAUUUAGAGCUGCAUAUGAGAAUCUUAUCCCUACACUGACCGGCAAGUUCGAAUGGCAACAAUCUGAUCACGACUUCUUCAUGUAUCCACCUAUUCUCAAGGCUGUUGCUGGUAGAAGAAAGAAGGCGAGGUUUAAAGGAUCUGCCGAGAGCAGUGGCAGCACAACACACAAGAAAGAGCAGCGUAGAUGCGAAAUUUGCAAGAUUUUGGGUAUCAUUGGAACACGUGCAAAAAUGGUGAUCCAGCUGAUAUAGCUGCCCAGCUAGCAUAGAGGGGGCCUCCUAUGAAGAAAAAAAGCAAAGCACAAAACAUGUUCAGCAAUCAGUGGAGAACAGUAUUAUAGUUGCUGGCUCAACUUCGUGAGGACCUACACCAAUAUGUUUUCCACCAAACCAAGCAAGUUCCAAAUCAAGCUCUGGUAGGACUGUUUGGUCAGGAUGUGACUCGAGCCAACAUGAGCCACUCUCCAUUGAGUACCCUUUGCCUUCUUCUUAAACAACACCACCUGAUACCUCCAAGUAGGGAAUAGAUAACCAAAAUGCACAACGGAAGGCAAAGGCAAAGAAGGCUAAGGAAAAAGAAGCAGCAAAACUUGGUGCCACAUCAUAGUCCUGCAAUGUGCACCAGAAGCAAGGCACCUGAUAGCCCAGCAAUGAGCACCGGAAGCAAGAGAAAAAUUCGUCCAGCUGUAAUGUACAAACCUCUCAUUUUAUUUUUAAUAUUAUUUUGCUUAGUUUGUAAGGUCUGUGUGAUGAGCUUUGCAUGAUUUAUGUGAUGACAAACCUCUCAUUUUAUUUUGUACAAAUUUGUGGUCCUCAUAUGGUCUAUAUAAGAGACUUCAUCGUGUAAUGGUCCUCUGGUUAGCUGCUACUCAUUUUGGUUGUAUGUGCUGGAAAUAGAUACUCAUUUGGUCUGGCGAAAUGUUUAAGAU